rnacentral:rRNA from 1 species
GACGAACGCUGGCGGCGUGCUUAACACAUGCAAGUCGAACGAUGAAGCCGGAGCUUGCUCUGGUGAAUUAGUGGCGAACGGGUGAGUAACACGUGAGUAACCUGCCCUUGACUCUGGGAUAACUGCGGGAAACUGUAGCUAAUACCGGAUACGACCCUCGGAGGCAUCUCCUGGGGGUGGAAAGAAUUUCGGUCAAGGAUGGACUCGCGGCCUAUCAGCUAGUUGGUGAGGUAACGGCUCACCAAGGCGACGACGGGUAGCCGGCCUGAGAGGGUAACCGGCCACACUGGGACGGAGACACGGCCCAGACUCCUACGGGAGGCAGCAGUGGGGAAUACUGCACAAUGGGCGCAAGCCUGAUGCAGCAACGCCGCGUGAGGGAUGACGGCCUUCGGGUUGUAAACCUCUUUUAGUAGGGAAGAAGCGAAAGUGACGGUACCUGCAGAAAAAGCACCGGCUAACUACGUGCCAGCAGCCGCGGUAA